rnacentral:rRNA from 1 species
UGCCAGCCGCCGCGGUAAUACGGAGGGUGCAAGCGUUGUUCGGAAUUACUGGGCGUAAAGCGCGCGUAGGCGGCUUUUUAAGUCAGAUGUGAAAGUCCACGGCUCAACCGUGGAAGUGCAUUUGAAACUGGAAAGCUUGAGUAUCAGAGGGGAUGGUGGAAUUCCCGGUGUAGAGGUGAAAUUCGUAGAUAUCGGGAGGAACAUCAAUGGCGAAAGCAGCUUGCUGGGGCAAUUCUGACGCUGAGGGACGAAAGCGUGGGUAGCGAACGGGAUUAGAUA